rnacentral:rRNA from 1 species
GUGGGGAAUCUUGCGCAAUGGGCGAAAGCCUGACGCAGCCAUGCCGCGUGAAUGAUGAAGGUCUUAGGAUUGUAAAAUUCUUUCACCGGGGACGAUAAUUACGGUACCCGGAGAAGAAGCCCCGGCUAACUUCGUGCCAGCAGCCGCGGUAAUACGAAGGGGGCUAGCGUUGCUCGGAAUUACUGGGCGUAAAGGGCGCGUAGGCGGACAGUUUAGUCAGAGGUGAAAGCCCAGGGCUCAACCUUGGAAUUGCGUUUGAUACUGGCUGUCUUGAGUACGGGAGAGCUGAGUGGAACUCCGAGUGUAGAGGUGAAAUUCGUAGAUAUUCGGAAGAACACCAGUGGCGAAGGCGACUCACUGGCCCGUUACUGACGCUGAGGCGCGAAAGCGUGGGGAGCAAACAGGAUUAGAUACCCUAGUAGUCC